UAAAAAAAGGUAAGCUACUAAGAGCGAAUGGUGGAUGCCUUGACUGGUAAAGGCGAUGAAGGACGUACUAGACUGCGAUAAGCUACGGGGAGCUGUCAAGAAGCUUUGAUCCGUAGAUUUCCGAAUGGGGCAACCCAAUGUAUAGAGAUAUACAUUACCUAUAUAGGAGCGAACGAGGGGAAUUGAAACAUCUUAGUACCCUCAGGAAAAGAAAUCAAUAGAGAUUGCGUCAGUAGCGGCGAGCGAAAGCGCAAGAGGGCAAACCCAGUGCUUGCACUGGGGGUUGUAGGACUGCAAUGUGCAAGAGCUGAGUUUAGCAGAACAUUCUGGAAAGUAUAGCCAUAGAGGGUGAUAGUCCCGUAUGCGAAAAACAAAGCUUAGCUAGCAGUAUCCUGAGUAGGGCGGGACACGAGGAAUCCUGUCUGAAUCUGGGUCGACCACGAUCCAACCCUAAAUACUAAUACCAGAUCGAUAGUGCACAAGUACCGUGAGGGAAAGGUGAAAAGAACUGAGGUGAUCAGAGUGAAAUAGAACCUGAAACCAUUUGCUUACAAUCAUUCAGAGCACUAUGUAGCAAUACAGUGUGAUGGACUGCCUUUUGCAUAAUGAGCCUGCGAGUUGUGGUGUCUGGCAAGGUUAAGCAAACGCGAAGCCGUAGCGAAAGCGAGUCUGAAUAGGGCGCUUAGUCAGAUGCUGCAGACCCGAAACGAAGUGAUCUAUCCAUGAGCAAGUUGAAGCUAGUGUAAGAACUAGUGGAGGACUGAACCCAUAGGCGUUGAAAAGCCCCGGGAUGACUUGUGGAUAGGGGUGAAAGGCCAAUCAAACUUCGUGAUAGCUGGUUCUCUCCGAAAUAUAUUUAGGUAUAGCGUUGUGUCGUAAUAUAAGGGGGUAGAGCACUGAAUGGGCUAGGGCAUACACCAAUGUACCAAACCCUAUCAAACUCCGAAUACCUUAUAUGUAAUCACAGCAGUCAGGCGGCGAGUGAUAAAAUCCGUCGUCAAGAGGGAAACAACCCAGACUACCAGCUAAGGUCCCUAAAUCUUACUUAAGUGGAAAACGAUGUGAAGUUACUUAAACAACCAGGAGGUUGGCUUAGAAGCAGCCAUCCUUUAAAGAAAGCGUAAUAGCUCACUGGUCUAGUGAUUUUGCGCGGAAAAUAUAACGGGGCUAAAGUAAGUACCGAAGCUGUAGACUUGCACACAACUUAGAUUAUUUAAGUUUAGAAUAUGAGAAACUAAGUUAUGUUUAGUUAUAUUUUUACUGAUUUUUAUAGAGUAAAGAUAGAAAUAAAACUUAGUAAAAUCAGUAAAAAUAUUCUUAGGCUAAAGUUAAGUAGUUUAAGUUGUGUGCAAGUGGUAGGAGAGCGUUCUAUUUGCGUCGAAGGUAUACCGGUAAGGAGUGCUGGAGCGAAUAGAAGUGAGCAUGCAGGCAUGAGUAGCGAUAAUUAAUGUGAGAAUCAUUAACGCCGUAAACCCAAGGUUUCCUACGCGAUGCUCGUCAUCGUAGGGUUAGUCGGGUCCUAAGUCGAGUCCGAAAGGGGUAGACGAUGGCAAAU
rnacentral:rRNA from 1 species